rnacentral:rRNA from 1 species
GACGAACGCUGGCGGCGUGCCUAAUACAUGCAAGUAGAACGCACAGUUUAUACCGUAGCUUGCUACACCAUAGACUGUGAGUUGCGAACGGGUGAGUAACGCGUAGGUAACCUGCCUGGUAGCGGGGGAUAACUAUUGGAAACGAUAGCUAAUACCGCAUAAUAUUAAUUAUUGCAUGAUAAUUAAUUGAAAGGUGCAAUUGCACCACUACCAGAUGGACCUGCGUUGUAUUAGCUAGUAGGUGAGGUAACGGCUCACCUAGGCGACGAUACAUAGCCGACCUGAGAGGGUGAUCGGCCACACUGGGACUGAGACACGGCCCAGACUCCUACGGGAGGCAGCAGUAGGGAAUCUUCGGCAAUGGACGAAAGUCUGACCGAGCAACGCCGCGUGAGUGAAGAAGGUUUUCGGAUCGUAAAGCUCUGUUGUAAGAGAAGAACGGGUGUGUGAGUGGAAAGUUCACACUGUGACGGUAUCUGACCAGAAAGGGACGGCUAACUACGUG